UACGGCCACAUUACGUUGAAACACCGGUUCCCGUAUGACCACUGAAGUUAAGGCAACUUCGAGCCUGGUCAGUACCUAGAUGGGUGACCUCUUGGCAAAACCAGAUGCUGUAA